AACGCACAUUGCACCCUCUGGUAUUCCGGGGGGUAUGCCUGUUCGAGCGUCAUUGCAACCCUCAAGCACUGCUUGGUAUUGGAUGCUACCACUGUGGUGCGUCUUAAAGGUAUUAGCAGUAGCAUUUGGCUUCUAGCAUAGUAAUUUCCUUGCUUUGGAGUCUAGAUGUCUAGCUGCCAGAACCCCUAAAUCAUUAAGGUUGACCUCGGAUCAGGUAGGGAUACCCGCUGAACUUAA
rnacentral:misc_RNA from 1 species